GCGCUCGUAGCUCAGUUGGAUAGAGCAACGGACUUCUAAUCCGUAGGUCGUAAGUUCGAAUCUUACCGGGCGCACCA
rnacentral:tRNA from 1 species